rnacentral:snRNA from 1 species
GGAUGUGAGGCUGAUCUGGCUGCUAGGCGGGUGCCCCCUUCCUCCCUCACGCUCAUGUGCGUCCCUCCCGAGGCUGCGCACUCCGUCCAGGAGGAACGUUCUCCAAUAGAGGAGGACCAUUCUUCUGUCAAGGGUACGUGAGUAGCUGCGCUCCCGUUAGAGCCUCCAAACAAGCUCUCGAGACCCAGCCUCACCAGGGCCUUUCAUUUUCCAAAAGGAGGUCCAUUUUGCAUUCCUUUG